GAGGACUUAGCUUAAUUAAAGUGGCUGAUUUGCGUUCAGUUGAUGUAAGGUGUAAUCUUGCAGUCUUUA
rnacentral:tRNA from 1 species